rnacentral:tRNA from 1 species
UUAAUGAGAGCCAUUUAAUAUAUGCGGCAUAUUUCUGUUACAAAUACUAUAACUUACAAAGUUCAUUAAA